AUGUUUAAGAGCAUUUCGUACCUUGCAUUCAGCUUGCUGUUGCUAAUACAGGUCUGCAAAAUGUGCCUAAAAUGUACUUUAUGGUAAAUAAAAACUUCUACUUUUUGUCUCAGCUAACUUCAAGCUUCUUGGUCUACUUCGGAAUCGGAGGAAGAUAAUUCCAUUACACAUGGCACCUCAACAAAAAUGCCGACAGUAGGGGAAAGUGCUAUUUCAGAAGGUCGCAAGAGGCUCGAAGCGAUUGCUUUUAAAGGUUAUAUUAAUUAUUUAAACUAUGGUUUGCAACGAACCAAUCAAAUAGCGAAAAAAAACGCUCGCUGAUCCUUCUAUGUACAGUAUCGACAGUCAAGCUAUGGAAAAUGAAAGAGAUAUACUUGUAAAAUAUGUCAAAGACUCAGACGAGGCGUUAAAUGCUGUUCUUCCCACUGGUAAAAGUGAGAAGAACAAUCGAUUUUUCUUCGGCAUGGGUAAAGAUUAUGUGCUUGAACAAUUCAAUCGAACACGUACCGCUUAUGUGCCUAUAGAAAAGCUUACACCAGAACAAAGGGUAUCGUGGGACACUUUAAAGAAACAUGGAGUAUUAGAAUAUGCCGAAGAAAAGGAGAAAAGGUCGAAGAACCUCGCUCUUUACAUAGUAGAUGAAUUUGAGAAAUAUAUGAAAGCCCUGCCAGCGGCCGAAAAAGAGCAAGAGAAGGAAUUUUCAGAAGUUUGGGAUAUGUACUCAAAGAAUGAACUUGGAUUAGACAAGCUUGAAUUUGGAAAAAAAUUGUUUAUGCGACUAUUCGAUUACGAAUCAGAAAAGUAGAAAGAAAUAAAGAUUUUAAUAAUGUUAUCUUUUGAACUGUAACAAGUAAAUACUGAACUGUGCAUGUGAGCAUAUUCAUAUGUAUUCGUAUAAAUAGAAAUUUGACCUAAAAAUAUUUGUUUUAU